CCUACGGGAGGCAGCAGUAAGGGAUAUUGGUCAAUGGGGGAAACCCUGAACCAGCAACGCCGCGUGAGGGAAGACGGUUUUCGGAGUGGAAAACUCUGUUUUCUGUGAAGAUGAUGACGGUAGCAGAGGAGGAAGCUCAGGCUAACUACGUGCCAGCAGCCGCGGCAAUACGGAGGGAGCGAGCGUUGUCCGGAUUAACUGGGUGUAAAGGGUGCGUAGGCGGCUUGGCAAGUUAGUAGUGAAAUCCAUGGGCUUAAGCCAUGAACUGCGAUUGAAACUGGCGAGCUUGAGUGAAGUAGAGGUAGGCGGAAUUCCCGGUGUAGCGGUGAAAUGCGUAGAGAUCGGGCAGAACACCGGUUGCGAAGGCAGCCUACUGGGCUUUAACUGACGCUGAGGCACGAAAGCGUGGGUAGCAAACAGGAUUAGAUACCCCAGUAGUC
rnacentral:rRNA from 1 species